UCUACCGCAGCUGAGGAUCGGCCCACCCGGGACGUGGAUGGCGGGCGCAGGUUGAGUUAUGCCUCAUCCCCAGCGGUUGAUGCGGAUCUACCACAGGCGCAGGUUUCGUCCCAGCCCAUCUUCGAGGCCACUACAUGCUUUGAUGAGGACACCACGGAUGCAUAUACUCAGGCGGCGGACGAGACCACGGUUGCUGACGGCCCGACGGCCUAUUCUUCCGAUCCUGCCAGCUGUGGUGUCGAUGCUGCUGCACAUCCUCACAUAAAGAGGCGGCUUG